rnacentral:rRNA from 1 species
CCUACGGGUGGCAGCAGUAGGGAAUAUUGCUCAAUGGGGGAAACCCUGAAGCAGCAACGCCGCGUGGAGGAUGAAGGUUUUCGGAUUGUAAACUCCUUUUGUUAGAGAAGAUAAUGACGGUAUCUAACGAAUAAGCACCGGCUAACUCCGUGCCAGCAGCGGCGGUAAUACGGAGGGUGCAAGCGUUACUCGGAAGCACUGGGCGUAAAGAGCGCGUAGGCGGGAUAGCAAGUCAGAUGUGAAAUCCUAGGGCUUAACCAUAGAACUGCAUUUGAAACUGUUAUUCUAGAGUAUGGGAGAGGUAGGUGGAAUUCUUGGUGUAGCGGUAAAAUCCGUAGAGAUCAAGAGGAAUACUCAUUGCGAAGGCGACCUGCUAGAACAUAACUGACGCUGAUGCGCGAAAGCGUGGGGAGCAAACAGGAUUAGAUACCCCAGUAGUC